rnacentral:misc_RNA from 1 species
AAGUCGUAACAAGGUUUCCGUAGGUGAACCUGCGGAAGGAUCAUUACCGUAUCACUUUUUUAAAAAAGUCAAGGUUGAAAUGUGAAACGAUUGACAAGCUCUUAUGCUUUUGGUGUUGUUGCCUGUUUUGCUUGCUUGCUUGCUUGCUUCAAGCGGCGGCGGCGGCGGCAGGCAACAAUCAGCAUUUGAGUGCCCUUUUGUUUUUUUUUCUUCUCGCAAGAAAAAAAAAGAAAAGAGAACACUUGUGUGUGAUGGAGCGUCUUUUUCUUUGGAAAGCAAAACGAACCAUUUGAAAGAAACAUUUGUUGAAUGAGAAACAACUGGCAACGGUGGAUCUCUAGGCUCGUUA